GACGAACGCUGGCGGCGUGCUUAACACAUGCAAGUCGAGCGGUAAGGCCCUUUCGGGGGUACACGAGCGGCGAACGGGUGAGUAACACGUGGGUGACCUGCCCUCAGCUCUGGGAUAAGCCUGGGAAACCGGGUCUAAUACUGGAUAUGACUCCAUGACGCAUGUUGUGGGGUGGAAAGCCUUGUGCGGCUGAGGAUGGGCCCGCGGCCUAUCAGCUUGUUGGUGGGGUGANGGCCUACCAAGGCGACGACGGGUAGCCGGCCUGAGAGGGCGACCGGCCACACUGGGACUGAGACACGGCCCAGACUCCUACGGGGGGCAGCAGUGGGGAAUCUUGCGCAAUGGGCGAAAGCCUGACGCAGCGACGCCGCGUGAGGGAUGACGGCCUGGUU
rnacentral:rRNA from 1 species